rnacentral:rRNA from 1 species
CACGUAGGGCGCGAGCGUUGUCCGGAAUUAUUGGGCGUAAAGAGCUCGUAGGCGGCCUGUUGCGUCCGAUGUGAAAUCCCGGGGCUCAACCCCGGAACUGCAUUGGAUACUGCCUUGCUUGAGUACUGGAGAGGGAACUGGAAUUUACGGUGUAGCAGUGAAAUGCGUAGAGAUCGAUAAGGAAGGCCAGUGGCGAAGGCGAGUUCCUGGACAGUUACUGACGCUGAGGCAACGAAGGCCAGGGGAGCAAACGGG